UACGGAAGGCAGCAGUGGGGAAUAUUGCACAAUGGGCGAAAGCCUGAUGCAGCUAUGCCGCGUGUAUGAAGAAGGCCUUAGGGUUGUAAAGUACUUUCAUCGGGGAGGAAAAAACAAAACUAAUAAUUUUAUUUCUUGACGUUACCCGAAAAAGAAGCACCGGCUAACUCCGUGCCAGCAGCCGCGGUAAUACGGAGGGUGCUAGCGUUAAUCAGAAUUACUGGGCGUAAAGAGCACGUAGGUGGUUUUUUUAAGUCAGAUGUGAAAUCCCUGGGCUUAACCUAGGAACUGCAUUUUGAAACUGAAAUACUAGAGUAUCGUAGAGGGAGGUAGAAUUCUAGGUGUAGCGGUGAAAUGCGUAGAUAUCUGGAGGAAUACCUGUGGCGAAAGCGGCCUCCUAAACGAAUACUGACACUGAGGUGCGAAAAGCGUUGGGGAGCAAAACAGGGAUUUAGAUACC
rnacentral:rRNA from 1 species